GCUGAAGGAGGAGCUUGCUUCUCUGGAUGAGUUGCGAACGGGUGAGUAACGCGUAGGUAACCUGCCUGGUAGCGGGGGAUAACUAUUGGAAACGAUAGCUAAUACCGCAUAAUAGUAGAUGUUGCAUGACAUUUACUUAAAAGGUGCAAUUGCAUCACUACCAGAUGGACCUGCGUUGUAUUAGCUAGUUGGUGGGGUAACGGCUCACCAAGGCGACGAUACAUAGCCGACCUGAGAGGGUGAUCGGCCACACUGGGACUGAGACACGGCCCAGACUCCUACGGGAGGCAGCAGUAGGGAAUCUUCGGCAAUGGACGGAAGUCUGACCGAGCAACGCCGCGUGAGUGAAGAAGGUUUUCGGAUCGUAAAGCUCUGUUGUAAGAGAAGAACGAGUGUGAGAGUGGAAAGUUCACACUGUGACGGUAUCUUACCAGAAAGGGACGGCUAACUACGUG
rnacentral:rRNA from 1 species